GUUAUUAGCUGCCAUGGCACACCUGAAACAGAUAGAAAGGCAUUCAAUUUCAUCUCUAAUAGUUUUUGCUUUGCUCUUAAUUCUAUGAAUUUCAUCAGUCUUUUUAUGUUAGUACUGUUUUUGUUUUUGUCAUUCUCAUUUCAUUCUUAUCUGCCAUUAUAGCAAGCUAAACAAGGAAAUCACAAGCCCUUUUUCUUCUACCAUUUUUUCAGGGAUUUGAAGUUAAACAUUUAUAAGAGAAAUCGACUUUGGCAUAAUGAGUGCUUAUACCCACACACUAGCUUAAUCUUUUCCCCCUAAUGGAGAAAAAUAAGAGACAGCUCACCUUAGAAAAAUUUAGCCAUUACACCCACAAAUAUAUAACUAGAUCCCACCACUAAUUGAAAACUUUAGUAAAGUUUAGAAUAACUACACAAAUAGACACAACAUGUAGCAAACAUUAUCGAAAUAUAACAUUUGAAUAAAACUUGGCAAUUUGUGGAUGCAGACAUUUAUUGUGUACAUGGGUGACCGUCCAAAGGGUGAUUUUUCUGCAACAGCUUUUCAUACCAGCAUGCUACAAGAGGUUGUUGGCAGGUUAACAUUUUAACUAGACUUAAAUUUUAAGAGGCUAAAAUGUGACCUAAUAAGAUAACUAGUAAUUUCAAUUUGGGAUUAGUAAGUUUGUCCCAUCCAGUGAGGUUUAAGGAGCUAACUCUCUUAGUGGAUUAAUUUAACAGUGGUGCAUCAGAUUUUUUGGUCCACAGCUAUCACAGGAGCUUCAAUGGCUUUGUUGCUAAGUUGACUGAAGAGGAGAAGCAGAAA
rnacentral:misc_RNA from 1 species